rnacentral:rRNA from 1 species
UACGUAGGGUGCAAGCGUUAAUCGGAAUUAGCGUGGGCGUAAAGCGUGCGCAGGCGGUUGAUGCAAGACCGAUGUGAAUCCCGGGCUACCUGGGAAUGGCAUGGUAUCGUGCACGGCUAGAGUGUGUCAGAGGGGGUAGAAUUCCAACGUGUAGCAGUGAAAUGCGUAGAGAUGUGGAGGAAUACCGAUGGCGAAGGCCAGCCCCCUGGGAUAACACGUGACGACUCAUGGCACGAAAGCGUGGGGAGCA